rnacentral:tRNA from 1 species
GCGCCUGUAGCUCAGCGGAUAGAGUGACGGCCUCCGGAGCCGUAGGUCGCGAGUUCAAAUCUCACCAGGCGCACCA